rnacentral:lncRNA from 1 species
AGCGCCGCGGCGAGGGGCAGCCAAGAUGGCGGCCGGGGGGGGCCGGUGGACGCGGUGCUGUCCGAUCCCCGUUCCCGCGCUCAACGUCGCCACCCCCCACUCGGAGGCAUGAGAACAUCAAAACUACAUGACAGCAUCACCUGGCACCAGUUAGCGCGGCUCUCCCAGAGAGCAUGUAAGCCUCGUCCCUGCUGCUCUGCACCCAGACAACACUGUCAGACAAAUGAUGGGAUUAAUGAGAGUCCAUAUUAUUUUCUAGUGUGAUACUUCGGGUCCAGAUGGCCUCCGGGCAUGCAGAGGUUUGACAGGGAGGAAGGUCAGAGAGAGGGACAAAGAGGAAUGAAUGAGGAAGGAGUUCUGCUUGCAACUGAGAUAAGUGGUGAGAUAGGAGCUCCAGAGUCUCGUACACUUACAUAGCAUGUACUUGUGCAUGUGCACUUCCCACUCACAGUCAUACAGAGUAUUGCAUAAUAUUGGCAUCUGAAUGUAUAGAAUUAUAAACAGAAUAUAGAAUUGUUUUCAAAGACAUUUUCCCUCUGUUACAACUAUAGGACCUUUUGCCUUUCAACAUAUGUUAAGUGUGGAAUAUGAGAGCAGCCAAGCAGUCUGUGACAACUUUGUUUUGCAAAGUACUCAAAUUGGACCAGAAUGUGAAGCUUUAAGAACAUGGGAAAACAUUUCACGUAAUGCAGAACAGUAAUGUUAUAACAGAUCUUAUAUUUCAGAACCUCUCGGUACUCGUUUCUGUGUUUAUUUAAAGAAACUACUGUUAACACAUCAGAACUCAAGGAUAUUAAAUAUAUUUUAUUUUCUGCAUGAGAUCAGAAAUAAAUAAAGCAUAUCAUUUGACAUAAAAUCCCAGCUCACCCCCAAAGUACAUCUGUGCAAAAGCACAAUCCUAUCCAUAAAGCACAACAACAAAAAUCUAUAAAAUAGACAUUGCAGUAAAUGAGUUGACUGUUGAGGAGACAGUUUCACAGUAAGUAAAAUUUCAGUUACUGCAACGAGCAGUUUGACUGCCUAAUUUUUCCCUCUUUAUGUGAGAACAUAGUUUGAAAUUUAUCAGAAGGUUUUAGUGUGCAUUUUUUUCCCCCAGCAUUUUGGUACUCUUUUAGUAUGACAGACUUGUGCAAGUUCUUUUAUUUUGACCUCAGUUUUGAAGCUCUUUAUACUUAGAUUUGCACUGAAAUGGGCUUAUUAUAAUCACGUUAGGUUCCAGUCUUGCAAAGAUUUGCAUACAUGCUUAAUGUCAACUGUCUGAAUAGUCCUAUUAAGUUCAGUAGGGUGACUCUUGCACAACAUGAAGUAUGCACAGACAUCUUGGAAGAUUGAGGGCCAUAUGUUAGAGCAUAAAAACAAG